CCUUUUGUAGCUCAAUGGCUAGAGCGGUCGGCUGUAGACCAAUAGAUCCCGGUUCAAGUCCGGGCAGAAGGA
rnacentral:tRNA from 1 species